CCUACGGGUGGCAGCAGUGGGGAAUUUUGCGCAAUGCUCGUAAGACUGACGCAGCGACGCCGCGUGAGUGACGAAGGCCUUCGGGUCGUAAAGUUCUGUCAGCAGGGAAGAAAGUGCAUAGAAGUAACUGUGUAUGAAUUGACGGUACCUGCAUACGCAGCCCCGGCUAACUCCGUGCCAGCAGCCGCGGUAAUACGGAGGGUGCGAGCGUUAUUCGGAAUUACUGGGCGUAAAGGGCACGUAGGCGGUGUUGUAAGUCAUUAGUGAAAUACUAGAGCUCAACUUUAGUAAGGCUAGUGAUACUAGAAGACUAGAGUAUCAGAGAGGAUAGCAGAAUUCCGGGUGUAGCGGUGAAAUGCGUAGAUAUCAGGAGGAAUACCAGUAGCGAAGGCGGCAAUCUGGCUGGAAACUGACGCUGAGGUGCGAAAGCGUGGGUAGCAAACAGGAUUAGAUACCCGAGUAGUC
rnacentral:rRNA from 1 species